UACGUAGGUGGCGAGCGUUGUCCGGAAUUACUGGGUGUAAAGGGUGCGUAGGCGGAUUUACAAGUCAGGUGUGAAAACUAUCGGCUCAACCGGUAGCCUGCACUUGAAACUGUAAGUCUUGAGUGGUGAAGAGGUAAGCGGAAUUCCCAGUGUAGAGGUGAAAUUCGUAGAUAUUGGGAGGAACACCGGUGCCGAAGGGGCCGCUCUGGAUGGAUACUGACGCUGAGGCGCGAAAGCGUGGGGAGCAAAC
rnacentral:rRNA from 1 species